GGAACAGACCCCCACCCUAAUUAAAUUCAUCUCUCAAACCCUUCUGCUCUCCUCACUAUUCUGCCACCGCCGGAAAUCGCUCACGGCGGCGGCCAACCACCAAACGAUCCCAAAUUAUCACCCUACAAUCCCCAACCCCUCCUCGGUCUGAAUCUACUACCCGUUUCCCUCAAAUCCUUCUACAUCACCUCGAAUUAUAGAUCUAAUAUUCCAGAAAAACCUAGUUUAACCCCCUUUCUGAUUUCUUCGUUAAAUUUAAUUCGUUUUGAUUCGAAGCUUGCAUUGAUCGAUUGCUCUUGACGAGAGAAAUACAUUAAUGUUAGUUUUUGCUCAUUUCAAAGUCGCCGGAGUCCAUCCAAGUUGCCGCUGACUGUGCCGAGGUGCCUUUCUUCCUUUUGCGCUGUUUCUCUGGCCGGCGAUGAGGUCUCCGAUUGAUAUGGCGGUCGUUCAUGGAUCUGGCCAUUAAUUGGUGAAUUUUUGUAGACCUCAAAGCCAAAAUAUUUUAUUAGAUGUGUUUGGAGCCACUGUAAAUCGUUUUGCUCAAAUAGAAGUAUAAAUUUUCAUGUUGGGACUGUAAUAUAAAUUUUGGACAUGAGUGUAUUGUAUUAUGUAACGUAGUUAAAGUAGAUGUUAAAAUCUGCUCAAUUCAGGAUGUGAACACAAGCAUAAAUGUAAGGAUGAUUAUUGUAGUUGAUUUUAUUAUGUUUGGAAUUAGAGUUAAUUUCUUUCAA